GAUGAACGCUGGCGGCGUGCCUAAUACAUGCAAGUCGAGCGAACAGACGAGGAGCUUGCUCCUCUGACGUUAGCGGCGGACGGGUGAGUAACACGUGGAUAACCUACCUAUAAGACUGGGAUAACUUCGUGAAACCGGAGCUAAUACCGGGUAAUAUAUUGAACAGCAUGGUUCAAUAGUGAAAGACGGUUUUGCUGUCACUUAUAGAUGGAUCCGCGCCGCAUUAGCUAGUUGGUAAGGUAACGGCUUACCAAGGCGACGAUGCGUAGCCGACCUGAGAGGGUGAUCGGCCACACUGGAACUGAGACACGGUCCAGACUCCUACGGGAGGCAGCAGUAGGGAAUCUUCCGCAAUGGGCGAAAGCCUGACGGAGCAACGCCGCGUGAGUGAUGAAGGUCUUCGGAUCGUAAAACUCUGUUAUUAGGGAAGAACAAAUGUGUAAGUAACUAUGCACGUCUUGACGGUACCUAAUCAGAAAGCCACGGCUAACUACGUG
rnacentral:rRNA from 1 species